CUGAUUUUAGUUUAAGUAGUAGAAUAAUAGUUUUGGGGACUGUUGGUCCCUAUCGGGAGAUCAGA
rnacentral:tRNA from 1 species